GCUGCCUCUGCAGUUCUCGAGUUACUAACUCAGAUAUACAGACGAUCUCAGGAUACUUCAAAGCAUCCUGGUGAUUUUGUCCACAAAGGCAGAUGGGAGU